rnacentral:rRNA from 1 species
GUAACGCGUAUGCAACCUACCUAUCAGGAGGGGAACUAACCCGGCGAAAGUCGGACUAAUACCGCAUAAAACAGGGGCACCGCAUGGUGAUAUUUGUUAAAAGAAAUUCGCUGAUAGAUGGGCAUGCGUUCCAUUAGGUAGUUGGUGAGGUAACGGCUCACCAAGCCGACGAUGGAGUAGGGGAACUGAGAGGUUCGGUCCCCCACACUGGUACUGAGACACGGACCAGACUCCUACGGGAGGCAGCAGUGAGGAAUAUUGGUCAAGUGGGGCGGGAGCCUGAACCAGCCAAGUCGCGUGGAAAAGGAAGAAGGAUCUAUGGUUACGUAAACUUUCUUUUGCAGGGGAAUAAAGUGCAGGACGUGUCCUGUUUUGUAUGUACCCUGAGAAUAAGGAUCGGCUAACUCCGUGCCAGCAGCCGC